CUUCGGUGACGAUACGAUGACGAGUCAGAAGGGACGUCCUUGCACAGGUGUAGCCUGCUCAGUGCCACGUUCUGUGGUGCUGCACGGAGGUUGCCCUGGGCAGGACGUCCUUCUCAGCGGAUGAUUUAGAGGCAUUUGUCUGAGAAGG
rnacentral:snoRNA from 1 species